AACAAGGUCUUGCUGAGUUGCUUUGGGCCUCCUAAAUUGCCGAGGCUGGCUUUGAACUUGAAAUCCCCCUGCCUCAGCCCCCCAAGCUGAGCAACCAGCCUCAGCAAUGUAGUAAGGUUUGCCACUGCACGCAGCCUCAACAGCUUGAUUUUUACAGAUAGCAAUAUAUUGUGUACAUCUUUCUCUAUGGCAGUACAUAGAAACCCACGGUAGACUUUUUAAAUGUUGCAUGGUAUAUAUUCUGCUGCAUGGAUGUACCAUUAUUUCAUCAUCUUCCUUAUGGGUGAACAUCAAGUUUUCCAAAAUAAACAAAUUAUGUGUGUGUGCACUAUGUUAUACAUAUAUUCAUAAAUAUAUGCUCUAAACAAAAUAUCUUCCUUGUUACACUUUUAUGCAUUUGUUCUAGUGUUUCUAUAAAACAGAUUUCUAAAGUUGGGAUUGUUGAGUUCAUGGGGAAACAUACAUGGUAAGUUGUACAUGCAUCCAGCAGUUGUCCUUAGUCAAAACCUUGUACCAAGUAAAUGCAAGGUCCUUUUAAAUGGUUCUUUUGCUGCCAUGUGUGUGUGUGUGUGUGUGUGUACAUGAUCUAGGGCUUGAACCCAGAACCUUGCACAUGUUUAGGCAAGUGCUCCACCACUGAGCCAUAUCCCCAAGACUUUCACUGCCCAUUGUUUCCCCCACCUCUUUGUUCCUCACUCUGCUGCUGGAAUUACCUUUAUAAAACUCAGAUCUGAUUGUGAUUUGCUUUAUUUGAAAUACUUCAAAGGCUUCUCAGUGCCAAGUUUUUAACACUCAUCCUAGCUCCUUCUCAGCCAGUUGGGACCAUCUGGGAAGCAGAGAGCAAACAGAAGUAGAACUUCAGGAGGUUUCCUGGGGAGGCUGGUAACACCUAUGAAAGAUAAAGGCAGAGAAAAAGAGCAGCCUUCAGACAGAAGUCGCUGUCUAGCUCCUAGGAACAGAAAGGGAAGAAAGGAGAAUCAGGUAGGAAGAACUUCAGACUGGGCUGCAACUCUGGAAACAUCUCAACAAGCCCAGUGGGGAGCUCUGGCCAAAGACUGCCCAGUAGAUGAGUCCACUGGGCAGAAACAAACUGGCCCAGGCCUCCUGCCAUAUUCUGCCAUUGGCUUGGGAGCUGCCUAGGAGGCAACGUGGCCUUGACCUGAGUGAUGUCGCAGCUCCUGAAGCUGCAGGUUGCUAGGCUCCUGUACUCCUUGUAUCAGUUUCUCUGAAUGGCAAGUGUCGUCCGUUGGCUGCCAUAAACUGCAGUCUGCCUUUUGGCCUUAUCUCUUCUUUCCCUGCUCCCAGACCCCAUGCCCUGGUGCCAUUGGCUUGACUACAUGCCAUACGCUGCAUGACCAAUUGUUCAUGCCACCCCCUAACCCUGACCUUUGCACAUUCAGUUAUCUCUGCCUGCAAUGCCACUCCUUUCCAACUAUACAAAAAAAAAAAAAAAAGGAGUUUUCUUCUUCUUCUCUCUCUUCCUGUACUGGGAAUUGAACCCAGGGCUGCUCUACCACUGAGUUAUACAAUCUCAGUCCUUUUUAUUCUUUAUUGUGACACAGGGUCUCUCCAAGUUACCCAGGCUGGCCUUCAACUUGUGAUCCUCCUGCCUCAGACUCCCAAGUUGCUGGGAUUAGAGGUGUGCAUGACUGUACCCUGCUUCAUAAUGUUUUCAAGACCUUACUGAAUUGCAACCUACUCUGGGUCACAGAUCCCCCCAUACAGAAUUAAUCAGUUCCUUGCUCCUGCUGUGCAGUUUGUUGAUUAGUAAAGUUUGGAGUAUCUGGUUCCUUUUUUUUUUUCUCCUUCAGAGUUUUGUCCCCUACAAUCCCUAAACCUGGCACAGUGUAGGUACACAGUGAAUGCUAACUGAGCUGUUUCCCUGCUAUUCCCAAAGAACCUCAAGGUUGCAGAACUCCAGCUGCUGGAAUGGGUUGGUUGCCUUAAAUGGUCAAUAAAUGUUUGUUGAAUCACCUAGGACCUUAAUUGUAACCUUGGAAAGGGAGAGGGGGAAGGUGUUUCCUGUUGCUGGGGAUCACCCAGUAUGGAGCCAAGCCAGAGUUCUAAGACUAGAGAAUAUCUCCCUCUCCUUAUAUUUUCUUUCCUAAAUGGGAAAGACCCUAGAGUGCUGAUGGUGGUUUUUAUUGUUGUUGUUGUUGUUGUUGCUUAAGUAAUCAUUCUAUUGCCUUAGGUCAAUAGGUGGGUACUUGAAGCCACUUUAUGAGUUGAGAUUUUGCACUUGCCCAUGACUCCUUCUCUUUAGGGCCUAAGAAGAGCCAUUGUACCCACACUGAUCUCCAGAUCAGAUGGGUAAUCAUUGUCUGAGUGAAGGUUAAUGGCUGGGGGAAGUUGGAAGGGUGGCAAUGAUAUUUCUCCUCUUGCUCUUUCCCAUGCCCACCAGUUAAAGAAUGUCCCUAUGGGGAGCAGCCAAGAGUUUCUGGGGUGGGCACAGUGGGGAAUGACAGCAAAACCUGGUGGGGAUGAGCAGCUAUGGAGAGAACAGAGAGGCAGCACUGGCUCCGUGUCCCGCCUUGCCACUCUCCUUUCGGUGUGCUAAGAUGAUGUCCCUUUGCCACUGUCCCUCAGUGGAAGGAGGCUAGAGCAUGGGUGACCAUGACCUCCCUACCCCUUCACUGCUCCAAACUGUUCCCUCAGAGGGAACCCCAGGGUUUCUCCAUCCAGGCAUGAGGGCCCUGUGCCUCUGCCUUCUCCCACAGGGAAAAAACAUAGGGUGGAAACUUCUGGCCAAGGCCUUGGUUUUUGGAGCCAGCUGGGCAGUGGAUAGGAAUUCUAAGAGACUUUGUAGUCUAAAGAAGAUGUAGCCCAGGGCUUCUUAUCUCUAGAUCCACAGGCUCAUUUUUGGAAGCUACAAAUCUUCCGCCCAGGUGCUAUUGCAUCAGGUAUGUGGCAAGAUAUAGUUCUCAUCAGAUUCCUUGUCACCAAAAAUGUCAUGGGCCAAACCACUAUGUUACUCCAAAGAAUAACAGCUUUCUAAUACAAAAGAGGAUGUUUUCCUGUCAGAGCCAGGUUGUAGUUGGAUUCCCCGUGCUACAUAAUGGAGGCCCCCGGAUAAUUCUAGAAAGAAGCCCAUAUCCCCCCUUCAUACCAAGAUCAUCCUCAGGAACUGUGCGGUACCUCUAUAAUUGGGGUUUGUGGUAAUGGGGGCCUUGUGGAUUCUGUUGCCAUAGCCCCAGAGAUUGAACCUCUGAGAGUCAGACCAAGUAGGAUGAUGCCCAUCUCCUGUGAGGACAACCCAGAGGCAGGGCAGACUCCUAAAGGUGUAGAUGUGCAAUAUCAGUAAGAAUUGGAUAUUGUUAGGCUGUUAGAUGAAUUCCAGCAUUUAUCAUUUUUCAGCCAUUCUGAAAAUUCUUAUUCGAGCCUGAGUUCUGGGCUCCAUUUCAGGGAGACAUGUCUCAUGUUCCCAGAAACUGUCAGGAGCAUCUGAUACACAGCGGCGGACACCAAGGGAAAAGAAACCCAAAAAAGAGAAAAGUGAAUAAAAAGAGAUUUCUCAAAUUAGAGCAAAAACUGAAGUCAGUCGCGCAAGCAUACAGCUAUAAUGUGACAACCUCUCUGAUUUUUGACACCCCCUCUUUUUAUUUUAAGUUCUGGCCACAUUUAUGAAUAGGGAACCAUAUCUGCUGAGACCUCACAAGGGUUACAUAAACAGUUUGGAUGGUUACAUCUUUUAAACAACAGUUUCUGAAAGCAUUGAAAAAAUCCCACUUAUUUAACAGUCUGGUGCCUUGAGCCAGCCCUGGAAGUUCCUGGGAGCCUUGCAGAAUCACUUCCUCCUGACUGUGAGUGGGGCAGGGUGAGGGGGAGCUCUGGCUUCUAGAGAGUGCAGGGGAGGAAGCGCCCAGCUGUGUGUGUGGGAGGAAGGCAUAGAGGGAGGGAGGAGGAUGCCCCAGAUUGCUCCUCAUAUGGGCAGCUGUGUCUUGUUACCAUGAGAGAGCAGGGACCCAGGAUGGAGCAGACAUAGGUCUCCUGGGGGUUUGGCUCUUUGGGGAGGAAGCAUGUGUCCGGGCAGGCUCUUCCCGUUUGACAACCUAACAUGAUGAUGAAAAUAGUGUUCUGGGCUCCUAAGCCUUGAUGGGGAACGUUCCCUUCUCUCUUAGAGUCUUAGCAGCCUUGGUGGUCUGGAGGGUUUCUCAAACCUUGGAGCUGAGGUUCUGAGUAAUGCUUUUGUGUCUUUUAGCAUAUCCUAGUCACCAACUCCUGUCCCCAUUGGCCUUAGUCUUAGUACUGGGGGAGUAGCUUAAUGCUAUCAGUUUUGUCAUUUGAAAUUUGUUUUGGUUAAAUAAUCUCCUUCCCCAGAUAUCGUUUUUGGAAAUGCAGUUAACUAAAGAUAUAUAACUCACUAGUGUAAAUUAACUUUAUCCAAAUUAUGUGCUUCAAUUCAAAGAGGGCUUUGUCUACUGGGUUUUAGCCUACUUGAGGUUUCACAACCCCUCCAGGAUCUAAUGCAAUAGAUAGAACCUUUUCCCAGGAAAAUUCACAAACUUCCAGAAUUGUGUGGACCAUCUGGGAAUUUCAGGAACCCCUUUGGUCCUACCCCGGAGUUCUAAGUUCCUGUGAGAGGGAAGGUGGGAAAGGUGGUAGUAAGGGCAGGGGACAGGGAUGAGCAAGGACUCCAAGUGCCACCUCAGAGGUUUUGCCCAAGACCAAUUGUGGAAAAUAUCAUUAGUGAGUGUUCAUUGCCAACUGUGGUCACUGCCUGUCCUAGAGAAAAGGUAUCUUUCCGUCAGCAGUGACACGGAGCCGGGGUGUUAGGACUUGUACACUGAACCUUCAUGUACCAGCAUGCAGCUGGGCGAGGAGAUGCUGGAGCUGGCUUUCAGGUAGAAGAAGCAGGUAGCAGUUUGUGUCCAUCUGGCAGAUUGGGGUCCUCUUGGCAAAGUGACAGGAGCCCCCAAGCCUGAUACCACCCCUUCCCCAGCAGAAGAGGUAGGGAGGGGCCUUGUCACUCUGGAUGGCAAGCUCAGAGAACCUUGAGUUCAGGAUCUUUUUUUGGGGGGGAGUCAGUUUGAUGAUGAUGUAGCUUUGAUUCCUAGUGUAUUGUUCUCUUUGAACUAGGGGAAACAUGGGGAAAGUUUUUGGAUCUGGUGCUGAUGUAAAAGCAUCACAGGGGAUUUUGGAACUGAUGGGGCAUAGUGAAACAAGCAUACAGAUCGUUUGUAGCCCAGCGCUUGCUAUGCGACUCCCACUGUCAGUGUGGUGACUCAAGGAGGAGAGAAUUUCCCCUUUGUUGAGCCAGCUGGACCAGUGUCAGCACUGCUCUCUUUGCAGGCUCUGGCACAGAGAAGCAGGGCCUGACUGUGGGGUGUUUGCAGGGAUUGGGGGCCUGGGCCCAGUUUAACACCCAUAAAAAGCAUGGUCCAUCUUGUGAGCCAGUUAUCCAGGGUCUCCCUAAUCUCGUGUGACAUCCGAUCACACGAGUGACACACACAAUCACACAAGCCUGUGACAUCCGAUCCAAACUGGGCAUAUGCUCCUGUGUUUGCGGAAUAUGGCUCAGCUUUCGCCUGUCACACCAAGUAAACUCACCCUCAUAAUCGCAUGCAGGCCUCUCACACUCACCAUCAAGCUUUCUCCUUCACUUUGUGAUGUUUGAUACUAAUAAUUUUCAUCAUUAUUGCUGUAUUCACUGGACUUCUUGCUAUUAAGAUAAAGAUUGCUUAAGCUGGUUUUAAAAAAAAAAGCACCAGCUAUAAAUGAAAAGACCUGUAAAUUGAACUUUUCAUGAACUCGGUCUGAGGACUACAUUUUGAGAACCACUGGCUUAAGCAAAAUCCAGCAGGUCUAGGCAACUGGCCCUCACCCCAGGCACAGGUGAGUGAAGUGCAGGAUGGAGGAGGAAUGGACGGGUACAGUAGGCCAGAGCCAGUAGGCCUUUGGCUGCUGUUCGAGGAAUUUACAGGUGAUUCUAUAGACGUAGGGCCAUGGUGGAUGAAGGUGGCAUAAGGUCCUGGUCUCCAAGGUUGUCUUACUCUGGGAUUUGGAGCAUCCUUGGCCUGAAGCUUAAAGCUACACAGACAAGCAGGUGAUAAAUUCACCUGCUUUGGGCCUGUGCUGACCCCAUGCAGCACACCUGCUUAGGCAACUCAGUUUAUACCAACAGACAAACAAGAAUCCCAUCAAGGUGUAUUUUUAAUAUGAAGCAUUGGGAUUAUCUGUAGCCAUCUAUGCAUGCAGUGGAGAUGGCAAGUGGGAUGGGAAAAAGUCACUUCAACCAUUUAGGCAAAAGUGUCAGUUUUAGUCUCAAUAAGGAGAUAACUGGUCUGUGUUUUUCUUUCUUGUGGCCUAGGGAGCUCCCAGAGGAAAGGACAUUACAACCCAAACUCCAUUUCUUCCACUAGGGAAUCACUUAGAACCAGUAGUUUCCUCCAAAUGGACUCUCUUAGACUAAGAAAGGGAGACUUAGCCACAGGCCAGCUGGGAAGGGAGCCACACUCUGUGAGGGAAAGGCCCAUCCCAGUCAGGACACAGUAGACCAGUGGGACUUGCCCUUUCCCUGAUGGCCCAUGCAUGCAAGCCCAUACCACCUGUCAUCCUGUAAACUGACUUCCAGUUAUACCACCAAUAAGCUGUACUUACUAUCAGUUCUCUCUAACAUAAUCUAGGCGUGGUGUAGAGACAAAGGUGAAUCAGCCAUGGACAUGCCUUCCUGAAACAAUUCCAUUUUUUUUAAAAUUUAUUUUUUAAUUAUAGAUGGACACAAUGUCUUUAUUUUACUUUAUGUGGUGCUGAGGAUCGAACCCAGUGCCUCAGGCAUGCUAGGUGAGUGCUCUACCUCUGAGCUACAACUCCAGCCCAACAAUUCCAUUUUCUUAGGGGGAAGGGAGACUGAAGUCAUUCUUGGUCAUUAAAUCCCCCUACCUGACCUCUUGUUCCCUCCCUUCACAUCCCUGGCUUAAGUCUAGCUACUGGUCCCUGAUGCUGGGGACUCAGGGAUCCUUUAUUCAACUUUUACCACAUCAGGUUCCACGUGGGUCCUGGGCUCACAGAAAUGACUAACUCAAGCCACUUGUGCCCUUGUCGGGAGCCCUAUUUGCCCCACAGCUGCAGCUGGGCCAAUUCUGGAGCAAGUGCCCUGCAGCCACCUUACCUGGGCUAAGGGUCCCCAAGUCUCCUUGCUGACAGGACUCCACAUUGGUAGAUGGAGCCUGGCCUCCUGCCCCUUUCCAUCAGCCUAUCCCAGCCCAGCUAAACCCAGGGUCCCUAGGCAUCACAGCUGCUGCACACAUAAAGCUCCACAGGAAGGUGGGCUGGGACUCAUGUGAGUGGUACUUUGACGACUCACCAAAGACUACCUUCCAUCUAGAGUUCAGCCUACCUUUUUUGUAGGGACAUUCAAUUGGUCACUUAUUCUUCACCCCCAAGUCCCUUUGCAAGAGAAUUACCUAGAACAGAGCACAGGCCCAGGAAUCACAGGCUCAAGUCUUGUUCUGCCUAUCCCUGCUGUGUGACUUGGGCAAGCCACCUCACCUUCCUAAAGCUGUUUCCUUGUUUGUGGAAUGGAGAUAAUGACCUUGCUUACUUCCUAGUGUUGUACAGAGGCACGCCUCUCGUCCUUCAGCUGCCCUGAAGCCUGCAGGUAGGGUGAGGAGGUUGGACAUGCUAUACCAGCUAUGUUUGGGUGGGGACAGCAAAUGGAAUAGAAGCAAACUAAUUCGGUCUAAUAAGGAGGAACUGCAAAUCUUCCUCUCUGUGCCAUGGGGCCUGGGGCAUGGCAGAAACAACCCUCCAGGGCUGUGGACUCUAGUAUUUCUUGAGCACUAAGCACCUGUAUGUCUUACCCACAUUUAGUUUAGUCUUCACAGCAAGCCCAUGAGAUAUGUUACCAUCCCCAUGUUGCAGAUAAGCAAACACAGGCUCAGAAAGGACCACAUGUUGCCCUGGUGUCAUAUUUAUUGAACAUUUACUAUGUGCUAAGUGUUUCAGGUCUAACAGCCACCAAGAUAGACUCGUGUCCCUCCCUCGUUCCACAGGUGGCCCCGGCUAAGCUGGAAUGAGUCAGAGCUAGACUCAAAGCCAGGUCUGGUGGCCUUCUAGGCUGGUGCUUUUCCCACCUCACACUCCAGAACUCUCAUUACACUCCCCUCAUGGGGCCACAGACUGUGCCUGGCAGCCCCUUGGAGAAUUUGAGGAUUUGGGAAUAAUCCUGGGUUUGGAGACAGGCUGUUUCUGUAGAGCUUUCUGUUUGCCCAGCAAUCCGCAAGCAGCCCUGACCCAAAGCCACGUUGGUCCAGUGCCUGACCACUGGGAUGUUUCUCCAUGGAGGGAGGAGCUUUCCCAAGGGAAUUCCCCCAAGGGGAGGGGAGCCAUCUUUGUUCUGGGGCCCCAGAGGGACACUGUUUCUGGCUGAGGUGGGAAAUCCCCUUGGAUUUCUCUGGGUUUAUGGGAGGGACUAUGGUUUUCCUGCAGCUUAAACCCAUAAGGAAGAAAAGGGAAGACCAAUGUAUGUCAGAGAGUUAAAUGAGUCUGGAUGGAAGUGGCCCCCCGUGUUUGGGGCUCAGCUUCUGCCCUUCCUUCCCUUUAGCCUUGGGCUCCCUCGAGACCUGUAUUUAUUGAACAUUUACUACAUGCUAAGUGUUGCAGAUCUAACAGUCAACAAAUCAGAUCCAUGUCCCUCGCAGUGGGCUUAUUUUCCUUGAGUGGUCACUUGUCUUGGGUGAACUGGAAUUGUCAGAGCAAGGACUCAAAGCCAACAAGUCGGGGGGCCUCCAGGGCUUGUGCUUUCCCCACUGCAUCCUCCAGAACUCCCUUUCCCUCAGGACAUGCCACUCAUGGAAGGCAGAGACUGACUCUGGAAACCCCUUGGAAAAUAUCACUGGAAAGAGAUGUUUUCUUUUUAUUUUUUUUAAAGGACAUACAACACCAGACAAUCUUUAUAUAUAUAUGACUUUAUUUAUUUAUUUAUUUAUUUAUUUAUUUAUUUAUUUAUUUUUAUGCGGUGCUGAGGCUUGAACCCAGUGCCUCACAUGUGUGAGGCAAGUGCUCUGCCACUAAGCCACAACCCGGAGGAAAUAAUCUGCUUCACAACCUCCACCACUACCACCCCCCAAGAAAAAGGACACAAGAUUAUUGGAGCAUUUACUCAUAGUAGCAAUCACCAGAAGCAAUGUAUAUGUAAUGAAAUACUGUGCAAUCAUUAAAAAUCAUCUUGAAGAAGAAAAUUAAUAACUUGAGAAGAGUGCUUUAUAACAGAUGUGUUCAAAAAUUCAGAUUACAAAACAUAAUAUACCUUUUUUUAAAGAAAUUUAUAGGGCUGGGAUUGUGGCUCAGUGGUAGAGCGCUCGCCUCACAUGUGUGAGACACUGGGUUCAAUCCUCAGCACUGCAUGGAAAUAAAAUAAAGAUAUUCUUUCCACCUAUAAUUAAAAAUAUAUAUGUUAAAAAAGAAAUUUAUAUAUGCACAGAAAAAUAUCUGGAAGGGUACAUAUCAAGUGCAACUUAUAGUUAGCCGUCUCCAAGUAGUAGAAUUAUGUGACUCUGGGGGUUUUGCUUGGUUUUUUCCUUCUUCUGUUUUCAGUAGUUUCCUGGUCUUCAGUGGAAAUGUGUGCCUUGUGUAAUCGUGGAGAAACAGUCCCACAAUGUGAACCAGAGAGAGAAGGGAGAAAGAAUAUUUCCUUUUGGCUCUGAACCUAAGGCCACUCUGGGCCCUGGCCUUGUCCCAAGAAUGUAAAUACUGUAAAUGCCACAGGGGAGGCCUGAGAGCAGUGGAGUAGGGCCCAGCUCGAGAAUCAGCUGGGCAUCAUUGUCCAGGCUGUGUCAUAAAUCUCAUUCCCCCAGAGAGUCUGCCUGACCACACAGCCGGACUGAAGGAACUUGCUCAGUGAAUUGCUCCAUCCUCCUUGGAAUCCCUUCUCCUAAUGUUCUUGCCACUACUUCUCGAACUGAGUUGCUGAGCUGUUGAGUGGCAUGCCGUCCUUGGAUGGCUUCUCCACUGACUUCCAUUCUACAUCAUGGUCAUCUUGACUUCGAAGAGCUACAUGCUGAACACUCACAAAUAUUCAUUUCCAGACUCUCCCCUGGAUAUCUCCAGCCAAGUGUCCAAAAGACAUCUCACACGUAACAUGUCUGUGUUAGCUUUUCAUCACUGUGACCAAAAUACCUGACAAGAACAACUUAGAGGAGGAAAGCUGCUUUUGGGCUCUCAUUUUCCGAGGAUUCAGUCUAUGGUCAGCUGGCUCCAUUCCAUUGAACCUGAGGUGCCAGAGUUUGCAAGCUAUUGAUGGAAAACAACAUCACAGUAAGAAAACAAUAAGACCAUGUCCAGCUGGGAACUUCCCAACUUAAAAACCUUGGAGUGUAUUCAAGGAAGACCAGGGUGUGAAAGUGUCAGCAACUGGAUAAAGUAAUGACCUAGGGGACUAGUGUGGACUUCCUAGUCAGAAUGUGAACCCUGAGGAUGGGGGACAGAGUUAGUAGUGAGGUAUUUAUUUAUUUAUGUCUGCAUGUUUGGUACCGGGGAUUGAACUCAGGGGUGCUCACCACUGAACCACAUUCUGAGCCCUUUUUUAUUUUUUAUUUGGAGACAAGGUCUCACUAAAUUGCUUAAGGCCUUACUAAGUUACUGAGGCUAGCUUUGAACUUGUGAUCCUCCUGCCUCGGCCUCCCAAACCGCUGGGAUUACAGGUGUGUGCCACCACACCCAGCAGCAGUGAGGUCUUUAAACCCACUAUCUUACUGCAUUUUCUGUUGCUACAACAGAAUACCUGAGAUUGGAUAACUUAUAAAGGAAAACAGUUUAUUUAGGCUUAUAGUUCUGGAAGCUUGGGAAAGCCAAGAUCAGGUGGUUUUAUCUUGCUCUUCAUGCCUGGCAUAGCAUGGUGGGAAAGUAAAAGGACUGUAGCAAGCAUGCAAAAGAGAAAACUGGAGGGGAGAGGUUCAAAACAAACCCACCCUCUCCACAACCUCCUCACCUCUUAAAGGUCCAGCCUCCCAACACUGCCGCAGUGCCAGUCAGAUUCAGUAUGAGUUUCAGAGGGGACAAACCACAUUCAACGCACAGCACCUGGAGAGGCAGUGCUUCCCUUGGGGACAGCUGACUGAAGGCCCCCUGGACAGCCUUCCCGCUCUGCCUUCCUUGCCUCCCUCCAUUUCUCCAGAACUCCUGCUUAGACCUCAACUCAUCCGGCCUUGACAGAGUUCUCUGGCUUUUUUUCUUUUCUUUCUUUAACUAUCAAAGACAUUUUUCUUCUAGAUUGAGAGGAAAUUUACUAGCAUCUUUACAGCAUAGGGUUCCUCGGAUUUUGUGUUCAAUUUCAGUCCAACUUACAAAACGUGAAACCCAGGUGAAGAUGGCGUGAGGGAGGGAGCAUAGCGUUAGAGGAAAGCAGCGUUGGACUCGGCCUGAGGUUGGAACCACCCAUCUUUGAGCCAGCCAGGGACAGAGGCAAGACGUGAGCUUCCCUAAGUGUUUGUCUCCUGCCUAUCAAAUGGAUAGAAUGCCUACCUCCAAAUUGGGACGAUGUGGUAAAGUUAGCACAUUGAAAGCCUGCAGCACAGCCCACCUGUGGCAGGGCUCAGCAGAAGGGUGUUCAGAUGAGACAUGAACCCGCAGUUUUUUUAUCUGUGUAGAAGCCUGGCAACAGUAGUGUGUGUGUGUGUGUGUGUGUGUGUGUGUGUUUAGCUGGUAGAAUCAUGGGUGAUUUUCAAUAUAUUUUUUUUUGUUUUGUUUUUCUACAAGAAAUACAUACUACUAGCCAGGCACAGUAGUGCACAUCUGUAAUCCCAGUGACUUGGGAGGCUAAGGCAGGAGGAUCACAAGUUUGAAGACAGCCUCAGCAAUUCAGUGAGGCCCUAAGUAACUUGCUGAGACCCUGUCUCAAACUAAAAAAAUUAAAAUAGAGCUGGGGAAGUGGCGCUGCACUCCUGAGUUUAAUCAUAAAGAAAGAGAGAGAGAGGAAGGAAGGAAGGGAGGGAGGAAGAAAAAAGAAAUAAAGAGAGAAAGAGAAAGAAAGAAAGACUACUUAGAGGGAAAGGAAAGGUACUGGGGAAUGAGAUUGACCCAGUUAUGUUAUGUAUAUUAUGAACUUGACAAUGAAUCUCAGUAUCAGUAUAAUUGUAAUGCGCCAAUAAAAAAGGAAAGAAAGAAAUACAUACUACUCAUAUAACGAUGAGAAGCGGAAUGACUCUAGAGAGGUAUUAUAUACUUUUUAAAUUAAUUAAAGCGUGAAAAGUUUGGAAAAAGAAAAGAAAAACCUGCAGUCCAUUUGCCUUUCGUAGACAUGCCAGCUAUAUAGCCCCUGGGCAGCGCCCCAGAGGACUGAGACAGAGGCAGGGAGGAGAGGGCAAUGGGUGAAGGAAAAGAAAGAAAGGAAAGUCACUCUGUGGGCUGGUGCCCACGGAGAUGCCCCUCAGAAGAAAUGCUCAGCCUUAGCAUGCAUGUAUGUCCUUCCCCAACCCAACAUGGCUCAGGAGCCUCUGGUAGAGGAUAUGGUGACAUAAAGCCCCUCUCUCCAAGCUCCAGACAAUGAUGACUGUGUGCAGCUCCCUUCAGCUGCUCAGGCAGCUGACCUCUAGCACAUCUGAGGAGGGGCCUGUGGCUUCAGCCCUGUGGCUCCUGAUCUACCUUCAUAAACCUGUUUUUUGUCCCUGUCUAGAGUAAAACAUGCAGGGAAUCCUACUGAAUUCCAAAAAUCAUCCUAAAAGGAUCAACACCUCUCUGGAGUCAUUCAGCUUCUCAAGAGAAGCAUUCCAAUGCCGUGCUCCAGUUAACUAUUGCUGCAUAACAAACUACCCCAUAACUUAGUAGCAUAAAGCAACUACCAUCUUAUUAUGCUGCAGAUCAGGGACCCAGGGCCCUGUUCUCUGUUCUGCAAUGUCUAGGACUAGGUUGGGAUGGCUGGAGUGGCCAGGGCAACUGGAAUGGUGGCUGUGAGCUGGAACAGCUGGGGCUGAAGGAUCCACUUCCAAGGUGGUUUGUCACUAGACUGGGAUAGCUGGAAGGCAGGGCUCCACAAGGCCUGCUGACACGUGGCCUUUCUAGCAUGGAGGCCUGGUUGUUGGACCUCUUACACGGUAGCUCAGGUUUCUACUGUGAGUGUUCUGGCCAGCGAGAUGGAAGCUGUGUGACACUAUAUGGCCUGGCCUUGGAAGCCACAUACAUCAUCUCCACUAGAGUCAUAAACCUGCCCAGAUUCAGGGAAGAAGACACAGACCCACCUCAUAAUGGGAGAAAUGGCAAAAAAAAAAAAAAAAUUAGCAGCCAUGUUUUGAAUCUACCAUACUCCCACAUAGGUGAUGUAUUCCUAGGUCAGGUCAGGGUGAGGUGGUGGGACAUUGAGUCCUACUGAUCAGUCUGCGACUGUACUCCCCUCACCUGUUUUCAUCCCUAUAUCCAACUGUCCUCCCACCAGCUUAUGUCUCUCUUAUUGGGUAGGCAGGACCUAGGGAGGAUUUCAAGCCAGUUCCCUUGGUUCCUACCCCCAACUGGCUCCUGUACUUUAUCCCACCAGCCACACUCCCUGCUCUCCCCAGUCUGUGCUCCCCCAGUGUAUGAGCAUAAAGUAGCUUGCUUUCUGCCUGUGUGACCCUCUGCAGUCCUGCCUGUGGAAAUCUCUCAACUACUCAUGUCUCCUUUACCAUUCUCUUUGCCUUUGAGGAUUUAUACCAUUUGAUUUUUUUUCUGUCAUUUUAGUGGCACUUCAAGAGAGACACAGGACUGGGACACAUAGAUAAAUUGGCAUGUUUAACUGGAAGCCCUUUUCUACCUAUUUUUUUGUUUGUUUGUUUUUGUUUUUAUUUGUUUGUUUUUGCAAUUCUUGGGAUCUAAUCCAGGGCCUCGUGCAUGCUAGGCAAGGGCUAUACCACUGAGCUACAUCCCCAGAUCAUUUUAUUUUCUAUUUUUGAGGCAGAAUUUUCCUAAGUUUCCUAGGCUGGCGUCAAAUUUGUGACCCUCCUGUCUCAGCCUCCUCAGGAGCUGGGCAGGUGUGCAACACCACACCUCACUCUGCUGGAUUUCUUUUGAAUGAAUGUGUCUCUCUAAGCUGUGUUGUAAUCUUCCCUGCCCUAUAAAAGUACAGUGUUUGAUAGUAUAGUGACCACAUUUAGCCUUUGUUGAUGAUUCAGAGUCCUCCUUAUGAACAUACAUGUUCACCUUGCAAUGGUUAAGUUAAGUAGAACUUAACUGUCCCUCCACGAUGGGACCCUGAUCACAGUUCCCCACAGUGCUAGAAUGCUUGACACCUCUUUCCAUGACUGCCUCUGUCUCUGGCUGCCUCCCAUCCUGUGCAUCUGUGCUGGGGUACUGCAUGACAGCAGGUUAACUUCUAACUUCCUCUUUUAGAAUUGCUAAGCCAGAUCACUAUGCCAGGCUUUCUUUGGUUGCUGUCCCCCACCCACUACUGCUCUUCCCUAUGCUUUCUGCCCUUCCCUACGCUUCCCAAACUUGACCUUGGUGAUGACAUCAACCAGCUCCAUGCCUCGUGCUUCAGUUAGGUUUGACCAAUUGAAAAUCCUAGCUAAGGUGGGCUGGGGAUGUGGCUCAAGUGGUAGCGCGCUCACCUAGCAUGCAUGAGGCAUUGGGUUCGAUUCUCAGCACCACAUAAAAAUAAAAAAAAUAAAGAUAUUAUG